CACUUCUUUCAGCCAAUCCUCAUACAGCAUGAUCUGGAAAUUAUCCACCUUCCUGGUUAAUGUCCUAGAUCCUCACUUGUUUAUCAAUGCCCUGAAAAUGUGGCAUCUAGAAUUGGACAGAGGUAGUCGGACUAGGGCAAAGUACAAGAAGAUAACACCUCCCUAGUUCUGAUCAUCAUGAUCCCUCUAAAACUUGUUUCCUUGGCCCCAGAAGGCAGAAAAGGAGCAUUGCAGACAAUGAAAAACUAAAGGAACAACAAAUAAUACAGAUUGAAUGGAAUGUGUGAAGGGAAAUAAUAAUGUCUCAAAAGGAAAAAAUUAUCCAAGGAUAUCUGGAUGCAGAUAAAAGAUCAGAACACCAAAAGAAUGCUGGAAGUCAGGAAAAAUUCAAAAACUCAGGGCCAACAGGACUGUUUCCAUCAGGAAAUGCCAGAUCAAACAGGUACAUGGAGUAGGGAUUAAGGAGGCCAAUAAUCCAGGUUGGGCACUGCAACCCAUCCAGUACUGCUGCUUGGAAGAGCAAAGAUGAUUUACCAUUAAGACGUGGGCACCUCUGGGGAGGGAAGAAAGGAGCAGAGGGGAUGAAAGUGACAUCAAAGAGGAGCAGUAUUAUUCAACAACAGCUCCACAGCCUGGAGCACAACUUUCCCCCUGGAGGGCUAAUAUAAUCAGA